rnacentral:siRNA from 1 species
GAUAAUGGUAAGACUAGGUCCUA